rnacentral:rRNA from 1 species
GACGAACGCUGGCGGCGUGCUUAACACAUGCUAGUCGAACGGAAAGGCCCUGCUUUUGUGGGGUGCUCGAGUGGCGAACGGGUGAGUAACACGUGAGUAACCUGCCCUUGACUUUGGGAUAACUUCAGGAAACUGGGGCUAAUACCGGAUAGGAGCUCCUGCUGCCUGGUGGGGGUUGGAAAGUUUCGGCGGUUGGGGAUGGACUCGCGGCUUAUCAGCUUGUUGGUGGGGUAGUGGCUUACCAAGGCUUUGACGGGUAGCCGGCCUGAGAGGGUGACCGGCAACAUUGGGACUGAGAUACGGCCCAGACUACUACGGGAGGAAGCAGUGGGGAAUAUUGCACAAUGGGCGGAAGCCUGAUGCAGCAACGCCGCGUGCGGGAUGAAGGCCUUCGGGUUGUAAACCGCUUUCGCCUGUGAAGAAGAGUGAGUGACGGUAAUGGGUAAAGAAGCACCGGCUAACUACGUG